UAAAUUGGUCAUUUUACCAUUUUAAUAUAAAAAGAAUAAAAAAUGAAAAUUGGUAUCUCCUUCACAAUUCCUUGACCCCCAUCGCCCAAUCCCAUUAAAACAAUCCACCAUUAUCGUCACCAAUACCACCACUCACCUUCGCCUCCCAUAACCACCGCCAUACCCACCAAAUCAAUCUACAAUUUUCUCCCUCAACAUCGACCCUUCAACGCCAUUUAACUAAAUUCAACCCACAACCAAUGAGCUCGGAGAUGCGAUCAACAGUAUGUUUCGCGAUGGAACCCAUUCUAAGCCCAACAACCAUUAUUAUCAUCAUUAACAGUACAAGUACCAGAAAAUACAAAUACUUUUGCCGUCUAAUUUACGUUGGAGGCUCCAAGAAUGACUCAAUCUUUUAGUGUGGAUCCAAAAUUCGGCCUCCACUCGAAGAAUUUGAGUGGCAGCGAGAGUCAAAUCUUUGAUUUCGACUCUAAACUUGCUAUUGUGGUAUGCUUUCAUUUGGUACUGAAAGGAAAUUGUUGUAAGAUAAUAGCUUUUGAUUGAUCCAGGGUAGAAGGUCGAUGGUGAUGCAAGGAGAAAAUAGAGUUUGAGAGAGAUGGAGAUAAAGUGAAUGGCGAUAUGCA
rnacentral:lncRNA from 1 species